rnacentral:rRNA from 1 species
GAUGAACGCUAGCUACAGGCUUAACACAUGCAAGUCGAGGGGAAACGAUAGAGAAAGCUUGCUUUUUCUAGGCGUCGACCGGCGCACGGGUGAGUAACGCGUAUCCAACCUGCCCAUCACUUGGGGAUAACCUUGCGAAAGUAAGACUAAUACCCAAUGACGUCUCUAGAAGACAUCUGAAAGAGAUUAAAGAUUUAUCGGUGAUGGAUGGGGAUGCGUCUGAUUAGCUUGUUGGCGGGGUAACGGCCCACCAAGGCGACGAUCAGUAGGGGUUCUGAGAGGAAGGUCCCCCACAUUGGAACUGAGACACGGUCCAAACUCCUACGGGAGGCAGCAGUGAGGAAUAUUGGUCAAUGGACGAGAGUCUGAACCAGCCAAGUAGCGUGCAGGAUGACGGCCCUAUGGGUUGUAAACUGCUUUUAUAAGGGAAUAAAGUGAGUCUCGUGAGACUUUUUUGCAUGUACCUUAUGAAUAAGACCGGCUAAUUCCGUGCCAGCAGCCGCGG